rnacentral:rRNA from 1 species
CCUACGGGUGGCAGCAGUAGGGAAUCUUCGGCAAUGGGGGGAACCCUGACCGAGCAACGCCGCGUGAACGAAGAAGUUAUUCGUAAUGUAAAGUUCUUUUAACAGGGAAGAAAGAGACAUUUGACGGUACCUGAAGAAUAAGCUCCGGCUAACUACGUGCGAGCAGCCGCGGUAAUACGUAGGGAGCAAGCGUUAUCCGGAAUCAUUGGGCGGAAAGGGUGGGCAUAUGGCAUAGAAAGACUGUUGUAAAAAUCCUGGGCUCAACCCAGUAGGGCAAAAGAUACUGCAAAGCUAGAGUAUGACAGAGGCAAGUGGAACUAGAGGUGUAGCGGUAAAAUGCGUAAAUAUAUGUAAGAACACCAGUGGCGAAGGCGGCUUGCUGGGUCGAUACUGACAUUGAGGCACGAAAGCGUGGGGAGCAAACAGGAUUAGAUACCCCUGGAGUC